rnacentral:misc_RNA from 1 species
AGAUAUGGAAAUCGGAAUGCACAUAAUUUUCCAACACCGAUGCAAUACAUCAUGAAAGUGAUGUAUGAAGGAUGAAGCAGGUUUCGUAGCCUCGAAACAUGCGAUGAUCAUCGUGUAUAGUCGUGUAAUAUGUG